UUGAACGCUGGCGGCAGGCCUAACACAUGCAAGUCGAGCGGUAGCACAGAGAGCUUGCUCUCGGGUGACGAGCGGCGGACGGGUGAGUAAUGUCUGGGAAACUGCCUGAUGGAGGGGGAUAACUACUGGAAACGGUAGCUAAUACCGCAUAAUGUCGCAAGACCAAAGUGGGGGACCUUCGGGCCUCAUGCCAUCAGAUGUGCCCAGAUGGGAUUAGCUAGUAGGUGGGGUAACGGCUCACCUAGGCGACGAUCCCUAGCUGGUCUGAGAGGAUGACCAGCCACACUGGAACUGAGACACGGUCCAGACUCCUACGGGAGGCAGCAGUGGGGAAUAUUGCACAAUGGGCGCAAGCCUGAUGCAGCCAUGCCGCGUGUGUGAAGAAGGCCUUCGGGUUGUAAAGCACUUUCAGCGGGGAGGAAGGCGUUAAGGUUAAUAACCUUGGCGAUUGACGUUACCCGCAGAAGAAGCACCGGCUAACUCCGUGCCAGCAGCCGCGGUAAUACGGAGGGUGCAAGCGUUAAUCGGAAUUACUGGGCGUAAAGCGCACGCAGGCGGUCUGUCAAGUCGGAUGUGAUAUCCCCGGGCUCAACCUGGGAACUGCAUUCGAAACUGGCAGGCUAGAGUCUUGUAGAGGGGGGUAGAAUUCCAGGUGUAGCGGUGAAAUGCGUAGAGAUCUGGAGGAAUACCGGUGGCGAAGGCGGCCCCCUGGACAAAGACUGACGCUCAGGUGCGAAAGCGUGGGGAGCAAACAGGAUUAGAUACCCUGGUAGUCCACGCCGUAAACGAUGUCGAUUUGGAGGUUGUGCCCUUGAGGCGUGGCUUCCGGAGCUAACGCGUUAAAUCGACCGCCUGGGGAGUACGGCCGCAAGGUUAAAACUCAAAUGAAUUGACGGGGGCCCGCACAAGCGGUGGAGCAUGUGGUUUAAUUCGAUGCAACGCGAAGAACCUUACCUGGUCUUGACAUCCACAGAACUUUCCAGAGAUGGAUUGGUGCCUUCGGGAACUGUGAGACAGGUGCUGCAUGGCUGUCGUCAGCUCGUGUUGUGAAAUGUUGGGUUAAGUCCCGCAACGAGCGCAACCCUUAUCCUUUGUUGCCAGCGGUUCGGCCGGGAACUCAAAGGAGACUGCCAGUGAUAAACUGGAGGAAGGUGGGGAUGACGUCAAGUCAUCAUGGCCCUUACGACCAGGGCUACACACGUGCUACAAUGGCAUAUACAAAGAGAAGCGACCUCGCGAGAGCAAGCGGACCUCAUAAAGUAUGUCGUAGUCCGGAUUGGAGUCUGCAACUCGACUCCAUGAAGUCGGAAUCGCUAGUAAUCGUAGAUCAGAAUGCUACGGUGAAUACGUUCCCGGGCCUUGUACACACCGCCCGUCACACCAUGGGAGUGGGUUGCAAAAGAAGUAGGUAGCUUAACCUUCGGGAGGGCGCUUACCACUUUGUGAUUCAUGACUGGGGUG
rnacentral:rRNA from 1 species